AGUGCAACAGAAAGUAUACCGCCAACCCCGCUUUAUCGCGGGCGGUAAGGGUGAAAGGGUGUGGUAAGAGCGCACCGCGCUAAUGGUAACAUUUAGCGGCAUGGUAAACCCCACCUGGAGCAAGACCAAAUAGGGUUCCUAUAGGCGUGACCCGCGCUGGAACCGGGUAGGUCGCUUGAGAUUUGUGGUGACGCAAAUCCUAGAUGAAUGGCUGUCCAUGACAGAACCCGGCUUACGGCGGACUUUCAAU
rnacentral:RNase_P_RNA from 1 species